rnacentral:lncRNA from 1 species
CCAGAAUUCCUGGAUCCUCCUGUCAAUCGGGGGAAUGAGUUUCUCAGCAUGAGCAUGGUUCAUCAUGCCAUCUUUCAUGAAUUCAUCUCCUCCUCGAAGACAUUAUCUUCCGCCUGCGUCUUCCAAAGACUCCCGACUGAACCUUGGUACUCACGGUAGUUGCCCACCAAGGUAUAAGCAUCCCUGAGGUUCCCGUACUCAAUCUGAAACUGAGAGGCCCGACUCAACAUCACCUCGACAAUCUCCCUCUCACCCUUCCGUUCUGCCUUACAAACGACCC